CCCUGGGGGCAAGAAUUAUGUCUCCUCCACUUAUAAACCACCAACUUCUAGCCCAUAUACCCCUUCAAUAUAUAGACAUUACUUCUAGAAUGUGAAUGCUAACAUCAACGAGAUUUUUCUUUCUCCUAGAUUCCUUUUCACAUUACACAGUUUUGGUUUUUACACAGUUCUUCUGGGGGAGUAAAUAGAGUAUGAAGUGUUGGAACAGCAGCUGCCCUUUGAAGCUGGAAUACCAUCAGGGCAUGAUGUUCAUCAGCCUGGAAAGAGGAAGGAAGGGUGCUGUGCAGGGUAGUAGUUGAGUUCAUGGAUAUCUUCAGGCAUACCAACCAGAGAAAAAAAUACAAGUUCCUAUUCCACAGUUCAUCCUGAUUGUUUCCUUUCCAUGAACUUUUGUUAUUCCAAAUAUGCUUUCAGGAUUUAAACUCUCAAUUAAUGUGUUUUGUUCAUACAACAAAGCCUAUUUCUCCUCAUGUUCGUGGAAAUGAUUAGUGAGUGGAAAAUGGCUCAAAAUUAAUAAAGACAAUAUUAGAAACUC